UACGGAGGGAGCUAGCGUUAUUCGGAAUUACUGGGCGUAAAGCGCACGUAGGCGGCUUUGUAAGUUAGAGGUGAAAGCCUGAAGCUCAACUUCAGAAUUGCCUUUAAGACUGCAUCGCUUGAAUCCAGGAGAGGUGAGUGGAAUUCCGAGUGUAGAGGUGAAAUUCGUAGAUAUUCGGAAGAACACCAGUGGCGAAGGCGGCUCACUGGACUGGUAUUGACGCUGAGGUGGCGAAAAGCGUGGGGAGCAAACAGG
rnacentral:rRNA from 1 species